AGAACACCCAAGGACCGAAGCCACUUGUGCUUGCUCGUGUGCUGUUAUUCACUGAUGUAGUGCUUGCUUCCCCCUCUGCCUGACGUGCUGAUGAUGAGGGUCAUGAAAGAAUCAGCUGACUAAGAUCUGGCAAGGACUAUGGAUCGAGGAAUUUGAAGUCCUAAUUCAUUGCUCAGACCUGAAUUAUCUUCACCCACAUCCUAAGUUAUUAUAUCAAGAAGUAAGACCAAGUAUGGGUACCUGAGGUGCAGAAAACCAAGCAGAUUCUGUUUCACGUGCAGGCAGAGAGAACAGCACGGCAUUGUAUUGCAGUGUGGUUCAAUUCAUUUUCCAAUAUAUUCAUCUGUCACCAGAGCUCCAUGGGAAGUUCUCUGCUG
rnacentral:lncRNA from 1 species